CUUACAUUCCCCUCUUUGAGCAAUAAAACAAUUGCUCAUCUUAUCGAUAAAAUCUUACCAGGACAGAGAAACUUCCACAUGGUAUUUUCAGGGGUGCUAGUCACUCCCUGCGGGACUUUCAUUAAUUUCUUCACCUCGAUUCCCAUGUGGUAAUUCCUAAGGCCCAGUUUAAAGAUGGGUUGAUACCCUCCAGUGGCAGAGAGGAGAAUUUCUAAUUGUUUCUGUUCUGCAUUAUGGAUUAAUUUCUGUACUCUCUUUCUCAAUGUACAAGUAAGAUGGCAGUUAUACAAAAUCAUACACAAUAAAAUCAGGACUAUAAUAAAAAAAUGAUAGAAGAAUGAUUUCAUUAUCUGGGAUCCAGUAGGGGACCAACCAGUAAAGCAUUGUACCAAUGAUGGGCUAAAUCAUUCUGAAUUUGUGAACUCACCUUAAGGAGUUCUCCUUUUAGGAUAUGUGUGGCUACCUGUGUGUGUUAUCUUUGGGAAAAAUAUAGUCCCCUGUGUAUGUGGGUGCCCACCAGGUUAAAUUCUUGGCAAAAAGAUCAUAAACUGGUACUGGUAAUGUGUUAAAUUGACAAGCAAAUUUAACAUCCUUUGAUGUUGUAUGAUAUAAUGUAAAAUAGCAUGAGCAUGAAAAAUGUGAAACAUUACCAGUUAACCAUCCAUUGCAUUUACUGGAUUGGGGUUUUAGAAGUAACCAUUCAUUAUCUGUGAGGUUACACAUUCCUCUAAUCUUCUCUAGUUUAGGAAUCGUUAGUGUGUUUUCUAAUGCCAAUCCUUGUUGUUGUAUCCAUAAAUACCUGAUGGCACAAGUACUCCAGUUACGAGAUCUGUGGUGAAUUUCAUAGUUGCAACAGUUAAAUUAUCUAAAUAAUUAUACAUUGAUUUAUCUAAAUCCAAUCCUAUAACCUGUGAUUUAACAACAAUUGGAGCCCAAUUUGCAGUAGCAUGAAAACCAGUCCCUAUAUGCAUGCUGGCUGUGUUUAACUUAUUCUUGAGGGUCUCCAUAUCUAUAACUAUUUAGUAUACUCAUAGUGGUUCCAGCACCUCCUAACAGUGUGUCAUACCAUUCCCUUUUCUGCCUUUGUUUGCUGUGUUACAUAAUGUUACAACAGGAGUAGUGAUUUUUAAUGACACAUGUACAGCUUGUAAGAAGGCAGUUGUAUUAAUAAAUGUGGACGGAAUAGGUGUGUGUGUGUGUGUCGUUGUUGACUUUUGGUUCUAUGGUAGAGGAUAAAGGACAGUAAUAAGGUGUAAAAAUAUAAGGUAGUGUAUAGUUCUCAAUUGUAGUGUCGUUCAUAAUGACUAAC